rnacentral:rRNA from 1 species
UACGUAGGGGGCAAGCGUUGUCCGGAAGCAUUGGGCGUAAAGAGCGUGUAGGCGGCCCGGUAAGUGCGAGGUGAAAGUCAAAGGCUCAACCUUUGAAUGUCAGUGGAUACUGCCGGGCUAGAGUCCGGAAGAGGCGAGUGGAACUCCUGGUGUAGCGGUGGAAUGCGCAGAUAUCAGGAAGAACACCAACGGCGAAGGCAGCUCGCUGGGACGGUACUGACGCUGAGACGCGAAAGCGUGGGGAGCGAACAGG